rnacentral:rRNA from 1 species
UACGAAGGAUGCAAGCGUUGUCCGGAAUUAUUGGGCGUAAAGCGAACGUAGGCGGUUUCUUAAGAUUGGUCUUAAAGACCGGGGCUCAACCCCGGGAAUGGAUCGAUAACUGGGAGACUGGAGGACGUCAGAGGAAAGUGGAAUUCCGAGUGUAGCGGUGAAAUGCGUAGAUAUUCGGAGGAACACCCGUGGCGAAAGCGACUUUCUGGGACGUUCCUGACACUAAGACUCGAAAGCGUGGGGAGCAAACAGG